AAGCUAUAUUGCUUCGUAAUCAGCCUCUUCUUUGGGUGCUAUCAAUUGGAUUUGAGAUGAUGGAGCUUACCUUCCAUCACAUGCUACCAAAUUUUAAUGAAUGCUGGUGGGACAGUAUUGUUCUUGAUAUUUUGAUCUGCAACUGGUUUGGUAUCUGGGCAGGAAUGCAUACUGUUAGGUACUUUG